UAAAUGCGAUAAGUAGUGUGAAUUGCAGAAUUCAGUGAAUCAUCGAAUCUUUGAACGCACAUUGCGCCCUUUGGUAUUCCUUAGGGCAUGCCUGUUCGAGCGUCAUUUGUAACCUCAAGCUCAGCUUGGUGUUGGGUGUCUGUCCCCGCCCCGCGCGGGGACUCGCCUCAAAAACAUUGGCGGCCGGUACGUUGGCUUCGAGCGCAGCAGAAACGCGAACUCGAGGCCCGACGGAUCGGCGACCAGAAGUCACUUCUUCCACAGCUUGACCUCGGAUCAGGUAGGGAUACCCGCUGAACUUAAGC
rnacentral:misc_RNA from 1 species